rnacentral:rRNA from 1 species
CGCGACGCUGGCGGCCUGCCUGCUGAUGCCCGUCUGGCGUCAGAGAAGGAGCUUGCUCCUUUGACGUUCGCGGCGGACGGGUGAGUGCACGUGGGCAACCUACCUUAUAUUUUGGGAUAACUCCGGGAAACCGGGGCUAAUACCGAAUAAUCUGUUUCACCUCAUGGUGAAAUAUUGAAAGACGGUUUCGGCUGUCGCUAUAGGAUGGGCCCGCGGCGCAUUAGCUAGUUGGUGAGGUAACGGCUCACCAAGGCGACGAUGCGUAGCCGACCUGAGAGGGUGAUCGGCCACACUGGGACUGAGACACGGCCCAGACUCCUACGGGAGGCAGCAGUAGGGAAUCUUCCACAAUGGGCGAAAGCCUGAUGGAGCAACGCCGCGUGAGUGAAGAAGGAUUUCGGUUCGUAAAACUCUGUUGUAAGGGAAGAACAAGUACAGUAGUAACUGGCUGUACCUUGACGGUACCUUAUUAGAAAGCCACGGCUAACUACGUGCCAGCAGCCGCGGUAAUACGUAGGUGGCAAGCGUUGUCCGGAAUUAUUGGGCGUAAAGCGCGCGCAGGUGGUUUCUUAAGUCUGAUGUGAAAGCCCACGGCUCAACCGUGGAGGGUCAUUGGAAACUGGGAGACUUGAGUGCAGAAGAGGAUAGUGGAAUUCCAAGUGUAGCGGUGAAAUGCGUAGAGAUUUGGAGGAACACCAGUGGCGAAGCGACUAUCUGGUCUGUAACUGACACUGAGCGCGAAAGCGUGGGGAGCA